rnacentral:rRNA from 1 species
GACGAACGCUGGCGGCGUGCUUAACACAUGCAAGUCGAACGGUGAAGCGCCUUCCUUUUUGGUGGGUGUGGAUGAGUGGCGAACGGGUGAGUAACACGUGAGUAACCUGCCCCCUUCUUCUGGAUAACCGCAUGAAAGUGUGGCUAAUACGGGAUAUUCUGGGUCUGUCGCAUGAUGGGUCUGGGAAAGAUAUUGUUUCGGUGGGGGAUGGGCUCGCGGCCUAUCAGCUUGUUGGUGGGGUGAUGGCCUACCAAGGCGGUGACGGGUAGCCGGCCUGAGAGGGUGGACGGUCACACUGGGACUGAGACACGGCCGAGACUCCUACGGGAGGCAGCAGUGGGGAAUAUUGCACAAUGGGCGAAAGCCUGAUGCAGCGACGCCGCGUGAGGGAUGGAGGCCUUCGGGUUGUGAACCUCUUUCGCCAGUGAAGCAGGCCUGCCUCGUUUGUGGGUGGGUUGACGGUAGCUGGAUAAGAAGCGCCGGCUAACUACGUG